rnacentral:tRNA from 1 species
GCCCGGGUGGUGGAAUGGUAUACACGCAAGACUUAAAAUCUUGUGAGCGCAAGCUCUUGAGGGUUCGACUCCCUCCCCGGGCA